rnacentral:misc_RNA from 1 species
GUUGUUGUUUUGCUGUUUGUUUUGUCGCAUCGUGUGCGGUCUGUGCGUCGUGCAUCGUGUGUCAUGUCUCUGCCGGCCCCUCUCGCGACAGGGCCCCAGAGGAAACGCGCUCUGCCGAGCGAGCGCCCAUUCAACAGUGUUGUGUUGCUCUGUUCUUUGCUAAUGAUCCUUCCGCAGGUUCACCUACGGAAA